rnacentral:rRNA from 1 species
AUGCAGCAGUUGCAGCAGAUGCCACAAUGGGCGAAUCAGCAGCAGUUCCCCUUCCAGUAUCUGCCUCCUACUCAGAUUUUUCCCCAACAAUUCAGCCCUCAGAUGCAGCAGGUCCAGUUUGGAGGAAGUGGAUCAUCUACUGGAGGAAGUGUGCAGAACAUCCAGCCGGAGUCUAGCAAGAAUAAGAAAAAGAAGAACCAAAAGAUCGAGCAGGCAGCUGCUACUACUGCUAGUGAUGAAUCCUCCUCCAUUAAUGUUGAUCCUAAGUUCAUUGGGGCAAUUUGCUACAAUUGUGGUCUCCCAGGUCACUUUGUGGGCACGUGCCCCAUCCCAAAAGUGUGUUUCAUCUGCAAGACCCCUGGCCACCACAUGGAUACAUGUCCUACUUGGUACAAACCCUACCCUGCUGCCAUGUACUGGGGGAGGCUAAUAAUGGUCUAG